rnacentral:rRNA from 1 species
AAUUAAAGGGCCGCGGUAUCCUGACCGUGCGAAGGUAGCAUAAUCAUUAGUCUUUUAAUUGGAGGCUUGUAUGAAUGGUUGGACAAAAAAUAAGCUGUCUCUGUUUUAUAAUUUGAAUUUAACUUUUAAGUGAAAAGGCUUAAAUGUUCUAGGGGGACGAUAAGACCCUAUAAAGCUUUACGGGAUGUAAUUAAGUUAUAAACUGUUAGUAUUAACUUAAUUUAGUUAUUAACCGUUUCGUUGGGGCGACGAGAAUAUAAUUAAUAAUAACUGUUCUUUUUUUAUAUUUACAAUAAAUUUUUGGUAAUAAUUGAUCCUUUAUUAAAGAUUAAAAGAUUAAGUUACUUUAGGGAUAACAGCGUAAUUUUUUUUGAGAGUCCAUAUCGACAAAAAAGGUUGCGACCUCGAUGUUGAAUUAAGGUUUCCUUGUGGUGUAGCAGUUUCAUGGGAGGGUCUGUUCGACCUUUAAUUCCUUACUGAUC